UACGUAGGGUGCGAGCGUUAAUCGGAAUUAUUGGGCGUAAAGCGCGCGCAGGCGUUCUUUAAGUCUGAUGUGAAAGCCCACGGCUCAACCGUGGAGGGUCAUUGGAAACUGGGGAACUUGAGUACAGAAGAGGAAAGCGGAAUUCCACGUGUAGCGGUGAAAUGCGUAGAGAUGUGGAGGAACACCAGUGGCGAAGGCGGCUCUCUGGGACGGUACUGACGCUGAGACGCGAAAAGCGU
rnacentral:rRNA from 1 species